rnacentral:rRNA from 1 species
UACUAGAGUAGCACUCGCAUAUCAAUAAGCGGAGGAAAAGAAACUAACAAGGAUUCCCCUAGUAACGGCGGAGUGAAGCGGGAAGAGCUCAAAUUUGAAAUCUUAAAGGGUUUCCCUUUACGAAUUGUAGUUUAAAGAAGUGUUUUCUGUUGAGGUUUUGGUAAAAGUUCUUUGGAAUAGGACAUCAUAGAGGGUGAGAAUCCCGUAUUUGACCUUUACUUUCAACUUUGUGAUACACUUUCAAAGAGUCGGAUUGUUUGGGAAUGCAGUCCAAAAUGGGUGGUAAAUUUCAUCUAAAGCUAAAUAUUGGCGAGAGACCGAUAGCGAACAAGUACCGUGAGGGAAAGAUGAAAAGAACUUUGAAAAGAGAGUUAAACAGUACGUGAAAUUGUCAAAAGGGAAGCGUUUGACACCAGUGUUGUUUUUCUGAAAAUCAAUUAAAGAACUGUUUAUGCUAAGCUGUUUAGACUUUAUCAGCUAUCUGUUUAGUUUUGAGCUUUUCUUUAAUGCACUUUUCAGUUAACAAGUCAACAUCAAUUUCUUUUGCUGUAAAAAAGCUUGAGGAAGGUGGCUUGAGAUUCGUCUUAAGUGUUUAUAGCCUCUUGCCUAUGCAGUCGGAGAGAUUGAGGUCUGCAGCGUAGAUCCUUCGGGGCUAAAUGCAUUUGUGCUAAGUUAUAGCAUUUUAUAGACAACUUGUUGACUAUGAUUUGUCUUGUAGCUUACUCGCUUAUGUUAUUUUACCUACGCUUAGGAUGUUGAGUCAUCACACAUCUCU